rnacentral:rRNA from 1 species
UACAGAGGGGGCAAGCGUUGUUCGGAAUUACUGGGCGUAAAGGGCGCGUAGGCGGCCUUCUAAGUCGAACGUGAAAUCCCCGGGCUCAACCCGGGAACUGCGUCCGAUACUGGAAGGCUUGAAUCCGGGAGAGGGAUGCGGAAUUCCAGGUGUAGCGGUGAAAUGCGUAGAUAUCUGGAGGAACGCCGGUGGCGAAAGCGACAGACUGGGGGUUUGCCGACGCUCAUGCACGAAAGCCAGGGGAGCGAACGGG